UACGGGGGGGGCAAGCGUUGUUCGGAAUUACUGGGCGUAAAGGGCGCGUAGGCGGCCUUCUAAGUCAGACGUGAAAUCCCUCGGCUCAACCGAGGAACUGCGUCUGAUACUGGAAGGCUUGAAUCCGGGAGUGGGAUGUGGAAUUCCAGGUGUAGCGGUGAAAUGCGUAGAUAUCUGGAGGAACACCGGUGGCGAAGGCGGAUCUCUGGGCCUGUUCUGACGCUGAGGCGCGAAAGCUAGGGGAGCGAACAGG
rnacentral:rRNA from 1 species